rnacentral:rRNA from 1 species
UACGAGGGGUGCAAGCGUUGCUCGGAAUUAUUGGGCGUAAAGGGCAGGUAGGUGGUCUCAUUUGUCAGGGGUGAAAGCCUUGGGCUUAACCCAAGAAGUGCCUUUGAAACGGUGAGACUGGAGUCUUGGAGAGGGUCGUGGAAUUCCCAGUGUAGCGGUGAAAUGCGUUAGAGAUUGGGAGGAACACCAGAGGCGAAGGCGGCGACCUGGACAAGUACUGACACUCAACUGCGAAAGCGUGGGUAGCAAACAGG